UUAAAUAAGAAAGAGUGAUUAGUGGAUGCCUUGGAUCUAGAAGUCGAUGAAGGACGUGAUUACCUGCGAAAAGUCUCGUGGAGCUGGAAAUACGCAAUGAAACGGGAAUGUCCGAAUGAGGAAACUCAACUAAAGUAAUGUUUAGUUACUUUGUAAUGAAUACAUAGUUACAAAAGAGAUAAACCAUGUGAACUGAAACAUCUUAGUAGCAUGAGGAAAAGAAAAUACAAAUGAUUCCGUCAGUAGCGGCGAGCGAACGCGGAAGAGCCCAAACCAGUUAAUUCUGGGGUUGUAGGGAUCGUUUAUGUAGAGUUACAAAAUGUCUGUAUAGUAGAACAAGUUGGGAAGCUUGGCGACACAGGGUGAUAGCCCCGUAUAUAAAAUGCAGACAUCUCUUAAUGAUUACCUGAGUAAGGCGAGGCACGUGAAACCUUGUCUGAAUCUGCCAAGACCAUUUGGCAAGGCUAAAUACUAACUAGAUACCGAUAGUGAACCAGUACCGUGAGGGAAAGGUGAAAAGAACCCCGGAAGGGGAGUGAAAUAGAUUCUGAAACUAAUUACUUACAAGUAGUCAAAGGGCGUUAAUGCUUGAUGGCGUACUUUUUGCAGGAAGGACCGGCGAGUUAUGUUAUCGUGCAAGGUUAAGGGGAAAAAACCGGAGCCGUAGAGAAAUCGAGUCUUAAUAGGGCGCUUAGUACGAUGAUAUAAACCCGAAACCAAGUGAUCUAUCCAUGAGCAGGUUGAAAAUUAGGUAACACUAAUUGGAGGACCGAACCAGGGUACGCUAAAAAGUGCUUGGAUGACUUGUGGAUAGGGGUGAAAUUCCAAUCGAACUUGGAGAUAGCUGGUUCUCCCCGAGAUAACUUUAGGGUUAGCGUUGAAUGUUAAAUAUUGGGGGUAGAGCACUGAAUACAGAAUGGCCUCACCUAGAGGUACUGACUGUAACCAAACUCCGAAUACCAAUAUGAAUUGUUCAGCAGUCGGAACGUGGGUGAUAACGUCCACGCUCGAGAGGGUAUCAGCCCAGACCACCGAUUAAGGUCCCAAAAUAGUGUUAAGUGAGAAAGGUUGUAAGGUUUCACAAACAGCUAGGAUGUUGGCUUAGAAGCAGCCAUCGUUUAAAGAGUGCGUAACAGCUCACUAGUCGAGAACCCUUGCGUCAAUAAUGUAACGGGACUAAAUACUAUACCGAAAUCGUGGAUAUUUUAAAUAUGGUAGGGGAGCGUUCUUAUUACAGCGAAGCUAUACCGUGAGGAGUAGUGGAGUGGUAAGAAGUGAGAAUGCCGGUAUGAGUAACGAUUCAUGGUGAGAAUCCAUGACGCCUAUUGAGGAAGGUUUCCUGGGCAAGGUUCGUCCACCCAGGGUUAGUCAGGGCCUAAGGCGAGGUCGAUAGACGUAGUCGAUGGACAACAGGUUGAUAUUCCUGUACUUCCUAUGAGAGCAAUGGAGUGACGAAGAAGGAUAAUAUUACCACUUAAUGGAUUGUGGGGUAAGUAUCAAGAUCGACAUGUUGGUAAAUCCGCAUGUCAUUAAGAUUAAGAUAUGAUGCAUAGUGAAAGCUUCGGCAAUUAAUGAAUUAUAUGAUUUCACACUUCCAAGAAAAGCUUCUAGCAUCAAUCUCAUUGGAACCUGUACCGAGAACGGACACACGUCCUCAAGAUGAGUAUUCUAAGGCGAGCGAGACAAGUAUUGUUAAGGAACUCUGCAAAAUUAUCCCGUAAGUUCGCAAGAAGGGAUGCUCACUUCGGUGAGUCGCAGUUAAAAGUGAGGGGCGACUGUUUAUCAAAAACACAGCUCUAUGCUAAAUCGUAAGAUGAUGUAUAUGGGGUGAAGCCUGCCCAGUGCCUGAAGGUUAAGUUGAAUUGUUAAAAAAAAUUUAUUUUUUUGAAGCACAAGAUAUGAAGCCCGGGUGAACGGCAGCCGUAACUAUAACGGUUCUAAGGUAGCGAAAUUCCUUGUCAGGUAAUUACUGACGUGCACGAAUGGCGAAACGAUCUCUCAGCUGUCUCAACAAUAUGCUCGGUGAAAUUAUGGUACCAGUAAAAACGCUGGUUACCCGCAACUAGACGAAAAGACCCCGUGGAGCUUUACUACAACUUUGUAUUGUUCUUUGUUUUAUUAUGUGUAGGAUAGGUGGGAGACUUUGAAGUUAAGACGCUAGUCUUAAUGGAGUCGUCCUUGAAAUACCACCCUUGAUAAAUUGAUGAACUAACCUUCUGCCAUUAUCUGGCAGGGAGACAGUGCAUGGUGGGUAGUUUGACUGGGGCGGUCGCCUCCAAAAGAGUAACGGAGGCGUUCAAAGGUACCCUCAAUAUGGUCAGAAACCAUAUGUAGAGCGUAAUGGUAAAAGGGUGCUUAACUGCGAGACAUACAAGUCGAGCAGGAUCGAAAGAUGGACAUAGUGAUCCGGCAGUUCCUUAUGGAAGGGCUGUCGCUCAACGGAUAAAAGCUACCCCGGGGAUAACAGGCUUAUUUUCUCCAAGAGAUCAUAUCGACGAGAAAGUUUGGCACCUCGAUGUCGGCUCAUCGCAUCCUGGAGCUGUAGUCGGUUCCAAGGGUUAGGCUGUUCGCCUAUUAAAGCGGUACGCGAGCUGGGUUCAGAACGUCGUGAGACAGUUCGGUCCCUAUCUGUUGUGGGCGUUGGAAUAUUGAGAAGAUCUGCUCUUAGUACGAGAGGACCAGAGUGGACGAACCGAUGGUGAUCCAGUUGUCUUGCCAAAGGCAUUGCUGGGUAGCCAAGUUUGGAAAGGAUAACCGCUGAAAGCAUCUAAGUGGGAAGUCCCCUUCAAGAUAAGUAUUCCCUUGAAAUUCCUUGUAGACUACAAGGUUGAUAGGUUGGGUGUGUAAGUGUAGCGAUACAUUUAGCUUACCAAUACUAAUAAAUUGAUAGAUUUAAAACU
rnacentral:rRNA from 1 species